rnacentral:rRNA from 1 species
GAUGAACGCUGGCGGCGUGCUUAACACAUGCAAGUCGAGCGAGUGAGUUCUUCGGAACGAUCUAGCGGCGGACGGGUGAGUAACACGUGGGCAACCUGCCUCAUAGAGGGGAAUAGCCUCCCGAAAGGGAGAUUAAUACCGCAUAACAUCGUUGAAGGGCAUCCUUCGAUGAUCAAAGGAGUAAUCCGCUAUGAGAUGGGCCCGCGGCGCAUUAGCUAGUUGGUGAGGUAACGGCUCACCAAGGCGACGAUGCGUAGCCGACCUGAGAGGGUGGUGGGCCACAUUGGGACUGAGACACGGCCCAGACGCCUACGGGAGGCAGCAGUGGGGAAUAUUGCACAAUGGGGGAAACCCUGAUGCAGCAACGCCGCGUGAGUGAUGACGGCCUUCGGGUUGUAAAGCUCUGUCUUUGGGGACGAUAAUGACGGUACCCAAGGAGGAAGUCACGGCUAACUACGUGCCAGCAGCCGCCGUAA